AAUUAAACAAUGUAAACAAAUGCUUUACAAUAUUAUUGUGAGCAGCACUUUACUUGGCGAAUUAAAGUUUUUUUAAUUAAUAGUAAACUGAAAAAAAUGUUAGCGAGCAAGACACGCUCCUCGCUUUCUUUUUUAAGAAUAGCCGCGAACUCAGGGACUUCGUAUAAGCGUUGAUACUCUGUCUCCUUCUUCUUCUCUCUCUGUUUCUCUCUCGCACAUGUAUAGGCACAUUAUUGUUUGUUGUUGUUGUUGUUGUUGUGGUGGUGGUGGUGGUGGUGGUGGUGUGUGGUGGUGGUGGUGGUGGUGGUGGUGGUGGUGUGGUGGUGGUGGUGGUGGUGGUGUACGAUACUAGUUGUUGUUAUAAAAGAUAUCUGUCUAGAAGUUAUCUUACAAUUCUAAUCACACACAACAAACGCCAGCAGCUCCACUCUGUGACGACAAUCGACUUUCUGUGAUUUUAUUGCCAGAAGUGUUUUGUGCAAAGUGUUGAGAGCGGGGAGGUGUACAGGCUGUGAGAGAAGUAACACAUGGGACAGACGACCUUCUGUGACCACAGACAGCAACGUCUACCUCACACCUGUCAACGACGUCUGUGGCAGAUGAACUGUCGCGAUGCUCUCGUCUGGCAGCGAGACAGAGACUCCUACGCCAUGGACCCGUGACAUCUGUGUAUACAUCGUGUGAACCCCUGGUGGAUUGUGGGGCUUGUGUCGUGUGUGUUUGAACCUCCUGCGCACGACUUCUGCGCUAACGAAACACUUGGUUGACAAUCCACUCGUCCUCACCUUGCUACAACCUCGCGACAAUCUCGUGGAGACCGAGACUUGAGCGAGAACGACCAACAUCACGACAGACGCAGACACAAGCUGCAGGGGGAGAACAGCGAGGUCUGAGAGCUGAUGUGCGUGUGUAUGUGAGAGAGGAUUAGGAGUGAAACGGAAGUAAGCACUCUGCCAUAUUGACAGUGUGGAUAGAGAAGACAACUGGGUCCGCCUUUAGUAAACAGCCCACGUGUGAAUGUUGUGUAAAUAAGCAUCCUCUUACCGUUAAGUCAGCAACGAGACGUGUGUCACUGAAGAUAAUGUCAUGGACGACAACUGUUGACCUUCGACUUCCCCUGGUGCAGGGACAUGUUGAAGAGUUUACUGCCACUCAGCCACAGAGUGCGAGACACAGGCUCUGGUCGAGAUGGCAGCUGGUCGGGUUGGCAGUCAGGAGGUUCUUGGUCUACUAAUGUCACGUGGCACAAGAGAACUGCUCAGUGCCCAGCUGGACAUGUCGCUGACCGUGCUGAUACAGAUUGUCAGGCAGAUACAAGAAAGCUCACUUAGCAACGUGACGUCAGCAGCCGCCUCUCACCUGGGCUCUGUACCUGUUCGAAUUCGCCGCCAGACGUCAGUUCUGACCGCCGUCAGCCAGGAGGUCGAGAAGCCUGGGGACUGACCGUGACCUGCAGGUGAAGGACGACAGUUACAACACACUGACUUUCUUACAUUCUUGUCAUCAUUUCAGGAUUGUGCCAACCCCAAAAAACACUCAACUCUGUCAGAACAGUUGUUCCUCCCAAGUGAACCUUGCUUUAGUUCUACUGAAGGAAACUACUGUCCGCCAUGUUGUCAGCAGGACUGCAAGCAGAGUGUCAUUGUGUCACAUGGUCAUGUGAAUUGUCAGCUGCCCACAGUCCGUGUGUCAUCAUUACUGGGCACUAAACAAAUUUCCUGGCUGCUAAUUACCUGUUAAACAGAUUCCUUGUGUGUCCUGACACAGUUAACUAAAUCUUUUCUUCGGUUUUUUAAUAAAAUAUAUUGAACCGUU
rnacentral:lncRNA from 1 species